CGGGACGCCUGGUGCUCCUCAUCCUCCUCAAGGUGGGAGAGGUGGAGAUGCGGCCGGGAGCCUGCCGGUCAAACUGGAAGAAAGGUGCUACCGUGCCGUCAUGAUCGAGCAAAGCGAGCCACUUGCUUCGGGCUCUUCCAGGAGGCAACAAAGGAACUCGACGACGUCUUUUGCAACGUGAGAACACCUGCACCCGGCACACUAUAACUCAGUAAAGUGGAACAAAGUCAGGUGUACUUACAUGUGUGGAACGGAACGGCUGAGACGCGAACCAAGGGCGGCCGGCGGGGGCAAGAGAAGCGUGACCGGGGGAGGGAGUGCGUCCUGGUGCAGCUGGAAAGCCGGAUCGAAGAGACGAAAUAAAAUGCCCCGAAAUGAAUGAAACAAAAUGAAAUAG